GUGACCGCAACCCCCUCUACAUUAGACUUGCCAGCACUUUGCCAAUUUCCAAUUAAUUUCUUAAAACACACUUCAUCUCCUUGCGGUGCACUCACAGUGCAUAAAGAGUGGGUUGCAAGUAUGCUGGAAUCUAUCCCAGUUAACUGUGGGCAGGUGGCAGAGAGGCGAGGAUGGAUUCGAACCAGCCCCCUCAACACUUUGGACACGGCGCGAGGCAAUGAAAUGGGCUCACUCUUCCAAGAAUCUCCUUCAGUUGGAUGCAACUUAUUCUGAAUUUGCUCAGUAUGGGUAUAGAACAUUUUUUAAGGUCUCUCCCCCCCCCCCCCCAUCACACGAAGGACACGGACUGGAAACGAUGUUGGAAACAUUUUUACAUCUUAAAUAUAAAUAAUUCAGGGCAUCCAAGUUUUUUUGCUUUAGAAACCCAUUUUCUGUUCUUAACUGAAGCUCAAAGAAAAUAAAUGUAUUCAUUCAGCGCCAUCUUGUGGCAUAGUGGUGCUUUUGCUAUGUUUAAAUAAUUGGUUGGUUGGUGUCGUUUCAAAAGUAUUUGUUUUGUACCUGGUGGAACCCUGAGAGUAAGUUUGUCUUUGCUUUUCCGCCAAUGGAGCUAUUGCAAGCUCACGGAGCUCUAUGUUGCCAUUUCAAUGUUCCUGUAUGCACUGACAUUUUUGUGUAAAUGCCAAAAAGGUGAAUUAAAUCACAGAGUUUGUCCUUAUGUAGAUAUUUGUUUGCCCAUGUGUGAUAUCAAGUCAGCAUGUGCUAGCGACUUCUCUCAGGCCUGCUGGAGCCUAUCCUGGCUGGCUAGAGGUGGGGUACGCCCUGAACUGGUCGCCACUCAGUCGCAGGGCUCAUAUUAACAAACAUUCACACCUACAGGUUAUGUAGAGUUCUCAAUGAACCUAGACUGCAUGUUUUUGGGCUA